GCGGAGACGCAUGUUUCCGUUCACUCCUCACACCACACUCCGCCCGAACCUUGUUCGGGCGGUU
rnacentral:sRNA from 1 species